rnacentral:sRNA from 1 species
AGACAAAAAAUGCCGAAUCUGGAGCAUCAAAAGCUCUAGUACGGGGGACUUCUUUACUUGGGGUGAAUGAAUACACAGUUAGUCGCAGACUAAUUGAGUGUACUAGGGAAAACCUCUUCCCGAACCCGUCAACUAACCUCGGAGGCUUCAAGGAGGCACAAC